GGUUAAGCGACUAAGCGUACACGGUGGAUGCCCUGGCAGUCAGAGGCGAUGAAGGACGUGCUAAUCUGCGAUAAGCGUCGGUAAGGUGAUAUGAACCGUUAUAACCGGCGAUUUCCGAAUGGGGAAACCCAGUGUGAUUCGUCACACUAUCAUUAACUGAAUCCAUAGGUUAAUGAGGCGAACCGGGGAACUGAAACAUCUAAGUACCCCGAGGAAAAGAAAUCAACCGAGAUUCCCCCAGUAGCGGCGAGCGAACGGGGAGCAGCCCAGAGCCUGAAUCAGUGUGUGUGUUAGUGGAAGCGUCUGGAAAGGCGCGCGAUACAGGGUGACAGCCCCGUACACAAAAAUGCACAUACUGUGAGCUCGAUGAGUAGGGCGGGACACGUGGUAUCCUGUCUGAAUAUGGGGGACCAUCCUCCAAGGCUAAAUACUCCUGACUGACCGAUAGUGAACCAGUACCGUGAGGGAAAGGCGAAAAGAACCCCGGCGAGGGGAGUGAAAAAGAACCUGAAACCGUGUACGUACAAGCAGUGGGAGCACAGAGCAAUCUGUGUGACUGCGUACCUUUUGUAUAAUGGGUCAGCGACUUAUAUUCUGUAGCAAGGUUAACCGAAUAGGGGAGCCGAAGGGAAACCGAGUCUUAACUGGGCGUUAAGUUGCAGGGUAUAGACCCGAAACCCGGUGAUCUAGCCAUGGGCAGGUUGAAGGUUGGGUAACACUAACUGGAGGACCGAACCGACUAAUGUUGAAAAAUUAGCGGAUGACUUGUGGCUGGGGGUGAAAGGCCAAUCAAACCGGGAGAUAGCUGGUUCUCCCCGAAAGCUAUUUAGGUAGCGCCUCGUGAAUUCAUCUCCGGGGGUAGAGCACUGUUUCGGCAAGGGGGUCAUCCCGACUUACCAACCCGAUGCAAACUGCGAAUACCGGAGAAUGUUAUCACGGGAGACACACGGCGGGUGCUAACGUCCGUCGUGAAGAGGGAAACAACCCAGACCGCCAGCUAAGGUCCCAAAGUCAUGGUUAAGUGGGAAACGAUGUGGGAAGGCCCAGACAGCCAGGAUGUUGGCUUAGAAGCAGCCAUCAUUUAAAGAAAGCGUAAUAGCUCACUGGUCGAGUCGGCCUGCGCGGAAGAUGUAACGGGGCUAAACCAUGCACCGAAGCUGCGGCAGCGACGCUGAUGCGUUGUUGGGUAGGGGAGCGUUCUGUAAGCCUGUGAAGGUGUACUGUGAGGUAUGCUGGAGGUAUCAGAAGUGCGAAUGCUGACAUAAGUAACGAUAAAGCGGGUGAAAAGCCCGCUCGCCGGAAGACCAAGGGUUCCUGUCCAACGUUAAUCGGGGCAGGGGUGAGUCGACCCCUAAGGCGAGGCCGAAAGGCGUAGUCGAUGGGAAACAGGUUAAUAUUCCUGUACUUGGUGUUACUGCGAAGGGGGGACGGAGAAGGCUAUGUUGGCCGGGCGACGGUUGUCCCGGUUUAAGCGUGUAGGCUGGUUUUCCAGGCAAAUCCGGAAAAUCAAGGCUGAGGCGUGAUGACGAGGCACUACGGUGCUGAAGCAACAAAUGCCCUGCUUCCAGGAAAAGCCUCUAAGCAUCAGGUAACAUCAAAUCGUACCCCAAACCGACACAGGUGGUCAGGUAGAGAAUACCAAGGCGCUUGAGAGAACUCGGGUGAAGGAACUAGGCAAAAUGGUGCCGUAACUUCGGGAGAAGGCACGCUGAUAUGUAGGUGAAGUCCCUCGCGGAUGGAGCUGAAAUCAGUCGAAGAUACCAGCUGGCUGCAACUGUUUAUUAAAAACACAGCACUGUGCAAACACGAAAGUGGACGUAUACGGUGUGACGCCUGCCCGGUGCCGGAAGGUUAAUUGAUGGGGUUAGCGCAAGCGAAGCUCUUGAUCGAAGCCCCGGUAAACGGCGGCCGUAACUAUAACGGUCCUAAGGUAGCGAAAUUCCUUGUCGGGUAAGUUCCGACCUGCACGAAUGGCGUAAUGAUGGCCAGGCUGUCUCCACCCGAGACUCAGUGAAAUUGAACUCGCUGUGAAGAUGCAGUGUACCCGCGGCAAGACGGAAAGACCCCGUGAACCUUUACUAUAGCUUGACACUGAACAUUGAGCCUUGAUGUGUAGGAUAGGUGGGAGGCUUUGAAGUGUGGACGCCAGUCUGCAUGGAGCCGACCUUGAAAUACCACCCUUUAAUGUUUGAUGUUCUAACGUUGACCCGUAAUCCGGGUUGCGGACAGUGUCUGGUGGGUAGUUUGACUGGGGCGGUCUCCUCCUAAAGAGUAACGGAGGAGCACGAAGGUUGGCUAAUCCUGGUCGGACAUCAGGAGGUUAGUGCAAUGGCAUAAGCCAGCUUGACUGCGAGCGUGACGGCGCGAGCAGGUGCGAAAGCAGGUCAUAGUGAUCCGGUGGUUCUGAAUGGAAGGGCCAUCGCUCAACGGAUAAAAGGUACUCCGGGGAUAACAGGCUGAUACCGCCCAAGAGUUCAUAUCGACGGCGGUGUUUGGCACCUCGAUGUCGGCUCAUCACAUCCUGGGGCUGAAGUAGGUCCCAAGGGUAUGGCUGUUCGCCAUUUAAAGUGGUACGCGAGCUGGGUUUAGAACGUCGUGAGACAGUUCGGUCCCUAUCUGCCGUGGGCGCUGGAGAACUGAGGGGGCUGCUCCUAGUACGAGAGGACCGGAGUGGACGCAUCACUGGUGUUCGGGUUGUCAUGCCAAUGGCACUGCCCGGUAGCUAAAUGCGGAAGAGAUAAGUGCUGAAAGCAUCUAAGCACGAAACUUGCCCCGAGAUGAGUUCUCCCUGACUCCUUGAGAGUCCUGAAGGAACGUUGAAGACGACGACGUUGAUAGGCCGGAUGUGUAAGCGCAGCGAUGCGUUGAGCUAACCGGUACUAAUGAACCGUGAGGCUUAACCUU
rnacentral:rRNA from 1 species